UGGGGGAUAUUGCACAAUGGGCGAAAGCCUGAUGCAGCGACGCCGCGUGGGGGAUGAAGGCUUUCGGGUUGUAAACCUCUUUCGCUAUCGAACAAGGCCCGCUUAGGGUGGGUUGAGGGUAGGUGGAGAAGAAGCGCCGGCUAACUACGUGCCAGCAGCCGCGGUAAUACGUAGGGCGCGAGCGUUGUCCGGAAUUAGUGGGCGUAAAGGGCUUGUAGGCGGCUUGUUGCGCCUGCUGUGGAAACGCGGGGCUUAACUUCGCGCGUGCAGUGGGUACGGGCAGGCUUGAGUGUGGUAGGGGUGACUGGAAUUCCAGGUGUAGCGGUGGAAUGCGCAGAUAUCUGGAGGAACACCGAUGGCGAAGGCAGGUCACUGGGCCAUUACUGACGCUGAGGAGCGAAAGCAUGGGUAGCGAACAGG
rnacentral:rRNA from 1 species